CGAACGUUUGCCAGCGGUUCAGCAUCUUCUUAAGCCUGUUCUACAUUGAUCGCAAGAGAUGAAUCGCACGAUCGCAAGCGAUAUUGCGAUCGUCGUAAGGUUGUCGCAAGCAGAAAUCGCAAAGUUUGCCAAAAAUUAAAGUUUGCGUCUCUGCGAUCUUGCGACAGCCAAUAAGCAUCGAGCUCCCCACUCUCGUGUGUUAAUACGGUGUAUAUUUGUCACAAAAUUGAUUAUGUUACGUUAUCUCGUUUUGUUCGUUCUUUUUUUUACAAUUUUUAACUUGCAUAUUAAGUUUUUUCAUCUGUUAUAUUCGUAUAACCAAUAUAUUGAAAUUCAAAAAUUAUUUAUAAUGAGUGACUUAGAAUAUAGAGAUGAUGAAUUUUUCGACACAAGCUUUAAUGACGAUGAUGUAGAUGAAAAUGAUCUUGAAUUAAUAAAACUCGUGAGAAAUAAUUCAGGACUUUGGGACAAGAGUUCCAAAAUGUAUAGUAAUUCCAUACAAAAAAAACUUAGCCUGGGACUCUUUAGGAUCACUUUUGCCAGUUCCAAUGACAGGAUCUGCUGCAGCAAAAAGAUUUCGCACACUGCGUACUACAUUUAGCCGUCAUUAUAAAAAAAUGAGAGAAUCUCAACCGAGAUCUGGUGCUGGAUCAAAUUGGCCUAUUUAUAAUCCAAUGUGGCCACUUUAUGAAGAGCUGUUAUUUCUAACAGAUGUAAUAAAACCACGCCAGUAUGUAUAAGACAAAAUCAAACAUGCUUAAAAAAUCAGGAAAUAUAUUGUCAAGAAGUGAAAGUAGUAAACGUGCAUUUAAUAUUGAGUCACGAUGUAUUCCUAGUUCAAUUUGUGCAAAGAACCGUCCAAUGCAUGUCAGUCUUAAAGACAAUACUCAGUUAAAAGAAAAUACAUUUACUGACAAUGAUCUGGUUGAUGAUCCUGUUGAUAGAAAUAAAUUUAAGAGAACAUAUAGUUCAAAACUUUAUAACAAUAAUUUGUAUGACAUUGCAGGUAUUGAUUUAAUAAAUCUUGAAACAUAU